rnacentral:rRNA from 1 species
GCUCAUGGCUCAGGAUGAACGCUAGCUACAGGCUUGACACAUGCAAGUCGAGGGGCAGCAUGGUCUUAGCUUGCUAAGGCCGAUGGCGACCGGCGCACGGGUGAGUAACACGUAUCCAACCUGCCGUCUACUCUUGGACAGCCUUCUGAAAAGGAAGAUUAAUACAAGAUGGCAUCAUGAGUCCGCAUGUUCACAUGAUUAAAGGUAUUCCGGGUAGACGA